rnacentral:rRNA from 1 species
CCUACGGGAGGCAGCAGUGAGGAAUAUUGGUCAAUGGGCGGAAGCCUGAACCAGCCAAGUCGCGUGAGGGAUUAAGGCCCUGCGGGUCGUAAACCUCUUUUGCCGGGGAGCAGUGGUCCGGACGUGUCCGGGCCGGGAGAGUACCCGGAGAAAAAGCAUCGGCGAACUCCGUGCCAGCAGACGCGGUAAUACGGAGGAUGCGAGCGUUAUCCGGAUUUAUUGGGUUUAAAGGGUGCGUAGGCGGGCAUUUAAGCCGGCGGUCAAAUGUCGGGGCUCAACCCCGGCCUGCCGUCGGAACUGGGUGCCUUGAGUGGGCGAGAAGUAUGCGGAAUGCGUGGUGUAGCGGUGAAAUGCAUAGAUAUCACGCAGAACCCCGAUUGCGAAGGCAGCAUACCGGCGCCCUACUGACGCUGAGGCACGAAAGUGCGGGUAUCGAACAGGAUUAGAUACCCCAGUAGUC